rnacentral:lncRNA from 1 species
GCUGGGUUUCCCUACCUUUUCCCCCCUUUUUCCCUUAAAACCCUGUCUCACCCCCUGUUCGGGGCCAUUUGCUGGUGGUGCCCAUCCCCGUUGGUGCUUCUGUAAUAAACCAACAGCCUACCUCCAGCAAGUGGUCGCNUUUUUUUUUUUUUUUUUUUUUUUACAUCCUAGGCUUUGAGAAAUAUCAGAAUCAGAAACAGCAGGAGGACCAGCAGCAUUAGAAAUAGUGUGUUUGACAUUUCAUUUCAGGCAAGCCAGAAAGGUUUUUUAAAUCAUGCUGUCUGCCUUUUCUCUUUGGCACAUCCUUUCCCUUUGAUUUCCUUUUCAUUCUCCUGAGUUUUUCAUUAUCUUUCCAGUACAAAACAUUAGACCACCGUGCUACAUAAUGGAAAUGAAACAUUUAAGGGAUACUGAGUGCUGUGGCCUCACUGCAGAUCAGAAUGUGACUGUGAUACAUACAGACGCAUACCCCAGCUUUUGAACUGGCACAUCUAAUGGUUUGUACUCUCUGUGUGAUGGUUUGGCCCUGACAGCAGACCAGCACCUACCCAGCUGCUCUUCCACCCCCAGCAAAACAGAAGAAAAAAAAUAAGAAGAAUAAGGGAAAAACACUCAAAGAUGAAAAACAGAAGCAGCUGAAUAUAGGAAGGUAUGUGAUGUAAGGUGCAGUGCAUGGGCUGGAAGGGAAGUGAAGAAGGAAAAGCAUGCAAGCAGUAAUGAAAUGUUCUGAGUUCAAAGUUUUUGGCAACACAGAUGUUCCUGAGAUCUGUCAAGGGUCUUUGAUUUUGUAUAAUAGUCCCAAAAAUCAUGGAAAGGGGAUUAUGGUCCUGGAGGGACAGGAGUGAAUGACAGAAGAGAUGGUAAGGCAGUUUCAGCUGAAGCAUGCCUUGACUUUACUGACAAAGUGAUUGUGCUUAUUUCAGACGUUUAUCUAAAAUUCAGUGCUAUUUUUAUUUUUUGUUUAGAAAAAUAAGUAAUGUUGUAACAUUUCCUGGGCUCAGUCCUGCUUGAAAUGGAGAACACAAGAGUUGGAUUUGAAUAAUUCAAAUAAUCAGUGUCUUCUUUACUGACUGUGUUGUAUAUGAGAACUUGGAGCUGAGUUUCCAGACUGACAGCCAGGCUGUUGCCAGUUCUGUAGGUAUGAUCUGGCAAUAGAGAAAUGUCAUUCUCAGGGCUGUCAAUUCAAUAUUUGAAUAGAAACAGGAUUCUCACAUAUUUAAAGGAUUGUACUCUGCAUGCAUUUUAAGUACACUCUACUAUUACGGAGUCUAAAGGGCAAGAUCAAUCAUUUCAGCUGCUCUCACCUGAUGAGCUGGAGUUGGUGUCAGGGUCUCACAAGAACUGUUCUCCUUCUGUGUUGUUCAGUGUCUGAGUGAGAAGAAGUCCCAAGGCCAGAUAUUUUGUUUUAGCAAAGUUCAUUAACAAACUAUGUUUAAUAUAAAUAAUCCCAGUGUAUAGCUGUAGCAAUUAUAUUUUUACAGAUAUUUUGUAAGCUGCCUAUUUAAGAUAUAAAAUUUCUAGCUCACUGUCACUCAUCAUCAAAGACAAUCUGACCCGUGCUACUCAUAUUUUCUGUUAACUGGCAAAGCUGUGGUCUUAUCCCAGUUCAAAACAAAGUUUUAUGCAUACUGUUCCAAUGUAAUUCAUAUAAAUUUAGUGCUAAAGGGAAAUUUCAAUAUGAAAUUAAAACAUCUCUAUAAUUCCCAGGUCUAGUUUUGUGCUUCAGUCAAUUAAUGUGAGUGAAAUUUACACUAAGGUGUUCUCAAAGUUAAGAGCAGAUGAUUAUUUGAUUCUGUCAUCAUUUUGAAAGCACUUGGUAUCACUAUCAAACCCAUCAAGCAAAUAAAAGCUAUGGUACUUUUAUUUUAUGCUUGGCA